UACGUAGGUGUCGAGCGUUGUCCGGAUUUAUUGGGCGUAAAGCGCCCGCAGGCGGCUCGGCAAGUUCGAGGUGAAAUCUCCCGGCUCAACUGGGAGGGUGCCUCGAAAACUGCCAGGCUUGAGGCAGGGAGAGGGAUGUGGAAUUCCCGGUGUAGUGGUGAAAUGCGUAGAUAUCUGCAGGAACACCCGUGGCGAAGGCGGCUGGCUGGACCGCAACUGACACUGAGGAACGAAAGCUAGGGGAGCAAACAGG
rnacentral:rRNA from 1 species